GGAGGCAGAGGUUGCAGUGAGCUGAGAUCGUGCCACUGCACUCCAGCCUGGGCGACAGAGCGAGACUCUGUCUCAAAAAAAAAAAAAAAAAAAAGAUUCUAUAUUCAACAUGUGCUUGUCAAUUCUUUUUUUUUUUUUUUUUUUUUGAGACAGAGUCUCGCUCUGUCGCCCAGGCUGGAGUGCAGUGGCACGAUCUCGGCUCAGGUUCAAGCAAUUCUCCUGCCUCAGCCUCCCAAGUAGCUGGGAUUACAGGUGCCGGCCACCAUGCCCAGC
rnacentral:SRP_RNA from 1 species